rnacentral:rRNA from 1 species
UGCCAGCAGCCGCGGUAAUACGGAGGAUGCAAGCGUUAUCCGGAUUUAUUGGGUUUAAAGGGUCCGCAGGCGGACCGGUCAGUCAGUGGUGAAAUCCCAUCGCUCAACGAUGGAACUGCCAUUGAUACUGCCGGUCUUGAGUCUAGUUGACGUAGGCGGAAUGUGACAUGUAGCGGUGAAAUGCAUAGAUAUGUCACAGAACACCGAUUGCGAAGGCAGCUUACGAAACUAUGACUGACGCUCAGGGACGAAAGCGUGGGUAGCGAACAGGAUUAGAUA